ensembl:lncRNA
GAACACUGCGAGACGACGAGAAGGGGACGGGAGGAAAGCAUUAUGGCUGGAAAUAGGAAUGGAGACAGAAUGGUGAUGAGAGCUGUGAUUGAUCAGCUUUUCCAGGAGGAAAUGAGAGGGCAUCUCUCAGAGGCCUGUUAAAACAGCCAGUUGUUCCAGGACAGCCUUUCACGUGACGGGCCAACCUACGUUGCAAACCCAAACGACGUAGAGGGCCGUCUCAUGUAACACAGCAGCCUACUCGAGUGAGAGGCUGGCAUCGUGAUUGCCUAGUGUUUUCCUGGCACGCUCGUCUGCGGCAAUCACCCCAUUCACCCUUAAGUCAACUCCCCCGUUGACUCCCAGCGUCGUCCGGUCUGCGUCCAGCACACGGGCCAAGUUCCUGCCGUGGCUCCCCAGAGGCGGUUCACUGAUCCUGGGUACAUGCUGGGCCUACAAGGCCGGCCGGGUCAACAGAGAUCGCACUGGGAGCGGGUGAUGGAGCUCGCUGCCAAACUCCAGGCCACCUACUCUCUCCACACUGGGCCGCAGCACACCACCUUCCGUGCGCGGGCCGCUGCGACCUCCCGACCCCGCUGGGCCGCAGUGCACCUCCUUCUGCGCUGGGCUGCAGCAACCUCCUGAUCCAGCUCCACGACUCCUGCCCCCGGCGCCACUGUGCCCAGAUUCCCGUGUCCCGCAGCCGGCGCCUCCGGCUUCCCGUGUUCUGCAGCCGGCGCCUCCGGCUUCCCGUGUUCUGCAGCCGGCGCCCUCGGCUUCCCGUGUCCUGCAGCCGGCGACUCCGGCAAACUGACCGACCUCCGGGCCGACCCCCAUAGGCUCCCCGGCCAACUGGCCGUUCGCCGGGCCGCCCGCCGGAGUUCCCUGGAUGGCCCGACCCUCGUCUCCUGGUCCCCUCCCUCCCGCCCCUUGUCUGCUCUCUACUGGUUCCGCCUGCCCUUUAGCACCAUCUGGAAUUUGGCCCAUGAGGGGGGGGGGUUCUGUCACAAUUUGGGUUCAGGCAUUUUUUUUU